GGCAGAUGUGACUGUUAGCUCGAGGAGCAGCUUAAUUGAUUGCUUCUCGUGAUAGAAAUAGACUGACAACUUGCCCUUAGGAGAAUAAGAUCUGAGGGGCAAAAGAAUAGGCCCAAGGUCAACAGAAGAGAGAGGACAGAGUCUGUGGUGAGGAUCUGAGCUGCAUCCAGCACUGAAUGUUGAUCAGGGAUGCAGAUACCCUGAAGGGAACGCUGGCACAGCAAUGGUCCAAGGGGGUUUCCCAGAAAAAAUCAGACAAAGAUAUGCAGACUUGCCUGGAGAAUUGCACAUUAUUGAACUUGAAAAGGAUAAGAAUGGACUUGGACUCAGCCUUGCUGGUAAUAGAGACAGGUCACGCCUGAGCAUCUUUGUGGUGGGAAUUAACCCGGAAGGACCUGCUGCCACGGACGGACGAAUGCGUAUUGGAGAUGAACUCUUAGAGAUAAACAAUCAGAUCCUGUAUGGAAGAAGUCACCAAAAUGCGUCUGCCAUUAUUAAGACUGCCCCAUCGAAGGUCAAGCUGGUUUUCAUCAGAAAUGAAGAUGCGGUCCACCAGAUGGCUGUUACUCCCUUUCCGUUACCGUCCACUCCUCCAUCUUCUGUUGAGGUAAGAUGGCCCCUAAUUA